CCAUAAUCGUCAUACCCCCUAUAUAAGAAGGUGACCACAAUGGUCUACUCUUCUUCCACCACGGCUGGCAUCUAAAGAGGACCCUCUCUGCAUGCCUGUGAUCUAUAGGCCUCAAGCCCUGCAUCCCUGAAAUCCAGUGUCCGGUUUGCUGUGAAGUCCCGCCUAGGACUUCCAGGGGUCUGGCCUGCAGCUGCUGGAGCCACGCCAGCUCCGUACACCCAGCUCCGCCACUGCUGGAGCAAUGCCAGCUCCACAUCGAGCACUCAAGAUUGGUAAGGUACUCACUUCUGUGCCUGUCUUCAGACUGGGAGAGAGACAUAUCUGUGCAGUGCAGAACAGUUUUGAAAUCAAAGCAGGCACAACUCCUGGCUCUGUGACCAGUUUAACCCGAGGAAAGGGGUAGGAAAGAUACCCCAGCCACACAUUGACUUCUCCAGUGCCACCUGACGGAUUAGUAAAUCACAAUUUUCAUCACAAAACCCUGGCUGGCUCUUUGUCACUAUGAUAUUUAUUGAUGUUCCCACUCAUUCUGUUAUUAUUAUAGUUUCUAUCAAUGUAUUUAUUGUAGCUAAUCGGGUUUACCACUGUGGAGUUCUGGGAUUCUCUCAAGGAACAGUUUAAAAAGAAUGGUGUUAUUCUGAUCCUUGUCCUCUGGUACUGAACACAAGCCAGUGGAUGCUACAGUUAUUAAUUGACAUAUUUCAUCCCUGCUUUGCCAGGAAGGGCAUUCCUCUGCAGGAUCCUUGCCCUGUUCCUCCACAGCAAGCAUUACAGUCCUGCAUAUUUCUUGUUCACUGGUCCUACAGACUCCAGCAAGUUUCCUACUUUAUGUAUUUGAAACAGGAUUUAUAGGGGAACUUUUGUGCUUUUGUCAUGACAUAACCUAAGCUAGCAAUACAACCACAAUAGCCGCUCACUCACCCCCUCCUCCACCCCCCAAAUAAGGGAAAGAAUCUAAUGGGAAGGGAGAAACUUGGACUGAGAUGAACACAGUUUAAUAAAAUAAUAAUACACUACUAGUAAAUAUGUAUAAAAUAGAAAUUAAAUAUAAAAUAAAAGAUACUCAAUGCAUUCCUCAUGAACUCCAUCCGCACUGAGCAGCCAGUCACAGGAAAGAGCAUGUGGUUCUGAACAGCUGAUCCCAGAGAGAGAAGAGAGAGAAAAAGGCAGAAAAGGCCCAGAUGCCUCUUCAAAACAGCAGGAUGACAAAAGACCAAGCUAACAAAAGUCCUGAACAGAACUCCCCCAGACAGGUCUCUGAGAGCGAAGACAGAAAAUGAGAGAGCACUGGAAGAUCCCAACUCUCCUUAAAUAUGAAGCAUGAUGCUAAUGGAAUGGAAUAUUCUGGAUGUCAGUCAAAGUCUGCCCCAUCUAUGCCCCCUCACACCUGUGGGCAGAGUGCUCAGCAUGUCCUUGGCUCUUAGACCAGAGCAAUUAAAACCAGUAACUCUGUUCUGGGAUGUCAUCUCUUGUUCUCAAGCUAAAUUCAAACAAUGACUUUGCUAGCUAUGAAAAAGAAAGGUUUCUAACUGCAUGAGGAAAAUUAAUGCAUUUUCAGUCAAACCAGCACAGCUUUCUUUAAGGUUCUCAAAUUCUUCUGGCCUUCCUUGUCUCAUUUUUCCCUAUAGUGUACCUAGGCUUAUGAGCUUUUCUAAUUUUCUCAUUCGUCAUGCCCAAAGUAUUUGAAAGAUGCCUUCUUUCUUUUAGUAAUAUGUUUUACCUGCUGUUUAACCACCUCAGCUUCCUUCUGGUUUUUUCUCAAGGUGAUCUUUUUUUGAUAAAUGGGAUAUAUUUGUUCUGGGAUGCCAUCACUGUGUCUUUAAAUAAUCUUUAUGUUACUUGCUAUGGUUUAACUCUUUUUAGCCUCCUCUAGCUUCUCCUUUUUGUAAUUAAGUAUAACAGCAGUGGGUGUUUUAGCUUUUGUUGCUUCUUCAAGGAGGCUCGAUCUAAGUGCAUUGUGCCCCCCAUAGUAGAGCAGGCCUUCGACAACAACACUGAGAGCCAGGCACAGCCCAUGGGCCUGGCUUGCAGGAAAUCCUGCUGCUCUGCCAAGAAGGCCAAUGGUAUCUGGGAUGCAUGAAGAAGAGUGUGGCCAGCAGGUCAAGGGAGGUAAUCCUCCAAAGAUAUUGAGGGGUCUGGAGCACCUUUCUUAUGAGGAAAGACUGGGAGAGCUGAGUCUGUUCAGCCUGGAGAAGAGAAGGCUGAGAGGGGACCUUAUUUAUGCUUAUAAAUAUCUCCAGGGUGGGCGACAAGAGAAUGGGACCAGACACCUUUCUGUUGUGCCCAAUGAUAGGAUAUGGUGCAAUGGACACAGACUGAAGCAUAGGAGGUUCCAUCUGCGUAUGAGGAGAAAUUCUUUUCUUUGAGGGCACCAGAGCCCUGGAACAGGCUGCCCAGAGAGGUUGUAGAGUCUCCUCUAGAGACGCCUGGACACAUUUCUGUGUGAUCUGCUUUAGGUGAACCUGCUUUAGCAAGUGGGUUGGACUAGAUGAUCUCCAGAGGUUCCUGCUGACCCAACCAUUCUGUGAUUCUGUGAUUCCUUGACUGACCGCUCCAUGAGGUGGUCACCGGUAGUGUCUCAAAAGAGCAGUUUCGACACUGCACCCCACUCUGAUUUAGACAAGCUACAACAGGGUCACAGAUAUUGCUCGUCUUUCUUGUAUUUGCUGCCCUCAAAAGCAGGCGGUUCUCUCAGAUUGUCACAGUCACUGUCCCCUUACUGGUCAGUCAAUACAUAACUUAGUCCUAGUGUAGUAAUUUUCCUAUUCAGGCCUAAAAUUUAAACCUGAGUUGCCAGUGUGACUAUUCUAUCAAUCUGAUUCGAUUCCAAGACCACAAAGCCCACUGCUCUUGUGGUACUAGGCUCUGUCUUUCGUGUAUACUGUGUUCCUCAGUCUUCCUGUGCUCCUUGACCCUCUUCUGUGAAGCCUGCAGUAGGUCUGGGUUGUCAAUACCAUGGCUUACAGCUAUUUAUUAGUCAUUUAUACAGAAAAGUAUGACCUGUUGCUCUCCUUUAUUACUUCUCUGUAGCCUGCUUAAAUGACGCUCUGUUAGCACCAGGCUGAUAACCUUUUUUUUGACUGAUUGCUGCCAACUCCUGCCCUGAUCUUUAAUUUAAGGACACAGAACUGUUAUCAUUUCACCUCUCAGAGAAUCUAUCAUCAUCUCAGAGCACACCUGGUUUCUGGGAGGAACUAGUUUUCACUUAGUUCCUUUGGCUGCUGAGGUGUUUUCCUGUGUCAUGUAGGCUGAGUCCAGUUUUGACAAAUAUCAUGUGAUAACUCCUGGGGACAGCAGCUAUAGCUGCAUCUUGUCUUGCAUGCAUUGCUAGUACAGAUCACAUCUUAAAAUCUGAGAAUGGGGCAAAGAGCAGAGCUCUUACCAAAAUGCCUUUUUUUCAUCAUAGACCACUAUGUAUGCCCAUAUUCUCAUGUACCCACUGAUAAUAAACUUGUAUCACACAGGCCGAUCUAAAAGUGACAUUUAGGCUGUGAAGCGUUAAUUUAGGCACCACAAUUAUUAGAGUGUUUUAAUAUAAUAAUAACUGAUAAAUAGACUACAUAUCAGACAUUUCAUUCCCUUUUAAUCAAAACUCCUAGUCUGCUAAAUUAAUCACUCCCUUGGGGUACAGUAGCAGAUUUCUGAUUUAGUCAUAGAGCAUCAUUAAUAAUGAAAAGUACUGGAGGCAAAUCCGUCUAUUCACGUUCCUUUGUAAGAUCCAGCCGGUUUAAAGAGACAAGACAGGGAAGGUAGAAGACAUCAACACCUUCCAUCAAUCCAAAGAAAUAUAAUUUUUGAUGUCAUUCUUCUAAUUACUUUGCUCCUUGAAUUUUAAGAGUAUCACAAAAAUCAGAAAGCCAGUCAGAAGAUUUCUGAUUUUACAUAAAUUAAAUUAACGAAAUCAAAGCUAAAAAUGUUUGAGAAAUGGACAGCAAUGUUACAUUUUGAACAGCUUUUCUAUUGCGGCACCAUAAAUUGGGUCACUAGAUUGUCUAAUUUCAUAAUAAAACUGUUUCUGAGCAAGGA